rnacentral:rRNA from 1 species
GACGAACGCUGGCGGCGUGCCUAAUACAUGCAAGUAGAACGCACAGUUUAUACCGUAGCUUGCUACACCAUAGACUGUGAGUUGCGAACGGGUGAGUAACGCGUAGGUAACCUGCCUGGUAGCGGGGGAUAACUAUUGGAAACGAUAGCUAAUACCGCAUAAUAUUGAUUAUUGCAUGAUAAUUAAUUGAAAGGUGCAAUUGCACCACUACCAGAUGGACCUGCGUUGUAUUAGCUAGUAGGUGAGGUAACGGCUCACCUAGGCGACGAUACAUAGCCGACCUGAGAGGGUGAUCGGCCACACUGGGACUGAGACACGGCCCAGACUCCUACGGGAGGCAGCAGUAGGGAAUCUUCGGCAAUAGACGAAAGUCUGACCGAGCAACGCCGCGUGAGUGAAGAAGGUUGUCGGAUCGUAAAGCUCGGUUGUAAGAGAAGAACGGGUGUGAGAGUGGAAAGUUCACACUGUGACGGUAUCUUACCAGAAAGGGACGGCUAACUACGUG